GGAGAUCCCACCGGAAUUCUGGGAAAUCCACUGGAAUUGUGGGGGGAAUCCUGCUGGAAUUCCAGGGGAUACUUCAGGAAUUCUGGGGAAUCCUGGUGGAAUUUUGGGAAAUCCGCUGGAAUUUUGGGAAGUCCCCCUGGAAUUCCAGGGAAUCCCACUGAAAUUUUGGGGGGAUCCUGCUGGAAUUCUGGGGAAUCCUGGUGGAAUUUUGGGAAAUCUGCUGGGAUUUUGGAGGAUUCCACAGGAAUUUUGGGAUUCCCACACUGGAAUUUUGGGGGGAUCCCGCUGGAAUUUUGGGGAAUCCCACUGGAAUUUUGGGGGGAUCCCGCUGGAAUUCUGGGGGAUCCUGCUCAAAUUCUGGGAAAUCCCACUGGAAUUUUGGGGAAUCCCUCUGGAAUUCUGGGAAAUCCUGCUGGAAUUUUGGGGGAUCCCGCUGGAAUUCCAGGGGAUACUUCAGGAAUUCUGGGGGAUCCGGAUCAAAUUCUGGGAAAUCCCAGUGGAAUUUUGGAAAAUCACGCUGGAAUUCUGGGGGAUCCCACUGGAAUUGUGUGAAAUCCCACUGGAAUUUUGGGGGGAUCCUGCUGGAAUUUUGGGAAAUCCCACUGGAAUUCCAGGGGAUCCCACUGAAAUUUUGGAGGAUCCUGCUGGAAUUCCAGGGAAUCCCUCUGGAAUUCUGGGGGAUCCUGCUGGAAUUUUGGUAAAUCCGGCUGGAAUUCCAGCAGGAUCCCGGUUUGGCAUUCCCGGAUUAUUUCCAUGGUUUGGCGUUCCCGGAUUUCCCGCUCCGGGAUUUGUCCCUCGGGAUCGGGAGCAGCGACCCCGGAGCUGAGCGGGGGAUUUACACCAGAGGAGGGACCGGAUCCCGCACGGAUCGAGUCGGAAUUCCAUGUGGGAUCGAGUCGGAAUUCCAUGUGGGAAUGUGUUGGAAUUCCAUGUGGGAAUGUGUUGCAAUUCCAUGUGGGAACGCCGGGAUCCUGUGCGGGAAUGUUGGGAUCAGUGUGGGAAUUCUGGGAUCCAACAUGAGAAUUCUGGGAUCCCACAUGGGAAUGUCGGGAUCCGACGCGGGAAUGCCCAAAUUCCAUAUGGGAAUGUCAGGAUUCGAGUGGGAAGCCCCAAAUUCCGUGUGGGAAUUCUGGAAUCCUGUGUGGGAAUGUUGGGAUCCAACAUAAGAAUUCUGGGAUCCCGUGUGGGAAUGCCGAGAUCCCAUGUGGGAAGCCCCAAAUUCCGUGUGGGAAUGUCGGGAUCCCGUGUCAGAAUGUCAGGAUUUGUGUGGGAAUGCCCAAAUUCCAUGUGGGAAUGCCGAAAUUCCAUGUGGGAAUGCCCAAAUUCCAUGUGGGAAUGCCGAAAUUCCGUGCGGGAGCGGCCGUGUGCUCCCCACCUCCAGAUCUCCAUAAAACAUCGGAUCCGCCGCUUCCCGACUUUUCCGUCAUCCCGGAGGGGUUUGGGAAUCAACGGAGGGAUCCGACCCCGGGAACGGGGAUUGGGGCGGGAAUUGGGAGUUGGGAAUGGGAAUUGGGAUCCGGAGUUGGGAAUUGGGAUCUGGGAAUGGGAAUUGGGAAUUGGGAAUGGGAAUUGGGAUCUGGGAACGGGAAUUGGGAUCCAGAGUUGGGAAUUGGGAUCCGGGAACGGGAAUUGGGAUCUGGGAAAGGGAAUUGGGAUCCGGAGUUGGGAAUUGGGAUCCGGAGUUGGGAAUUGGGAUCCAGAGUUGGGAAUUGGGAUCCGGAGUCGGGAAUUGGGAUCUGGGAAUGGGAAUUGGGAAUGGGAAUGGGAAUUGGGAUCCGGAGUUGGGAAUUGGGAUCCAGAGUUGGGAAUUGGGAUCCAGAGUUGGGAAUUGGGAAUGGGAAUGGGAAUUGGGAUCUGGGAACAGGAAUUGGGAAUUGGGAACAGGAAUUGGGAUCUGGGAAUGGGAAUUGGGAUCUGGGAACGGGAAUUGGGAUCCGGAGUUGGGAAUUGGGAUCCGGAGUUGGGAAUUGGGAUCCGGCCCCGGGAAUUGGGAUCCGGAGUCGGGAAUUGGGGAAUGGGGAUGGGAAUUGGGAUCCAGAGUUGGGAAUUGGGAUCCGGGAAAGGGAAUUGGGAUCCGGAGUUGGGAAUUGGGAUCCGGGAAUGGAAAUUGGGAUCCGGAGUUGGGAAUUGGGAUCCAGAGUUGGGAAUUGGGGUCUGGGAAUGGGAAUUGGGAUCUGGGAAUGGGAAUUGGGAUCCGGAGUUGGGAAUUGGGAUCCGGGAAUGGAAAUUGGGAUCCGGAGUUGGGAAUUGGGAUCCAGAGUUGGGAAUUGGGGUCUGGGAAUGGGAAUUGGGAUCUGGGAAUGGGAAUUGGGAUCCGGAGUUGGGAAUUGGGAUCUGGGAAUGGGAAUUGGGAUCCGGAGUUGGGAAUUGGGAAUGGGAAUUGGGAGCUGGGAAUGGG
ensembl:lncRNA